rnacentral:rRNA from 1 species
AACGAACGCUGGCGGCAGGCCUAACACAUGCAAGUCGAACGCCGUAGCAAUACGGAGUGGCAGACGGGUGAGUAACACGUGGGAACGUACCCUUCGGUUCGGGAUAACUCAGGGAAACUUGAGCUAAUACCGGAUACGUCCGAGAGGAGAAAGAUUUAUUGCCGAGGGAUCGGCCCGCGUCUGAUUAGCUUGUUGGUGAGGUAACGGCUCACCAAGGCGACGAUCAGUAGCUGGUCUGAGAGGAUGAUCAGCCACAUUGGGACUGAGACACGGCCCAAACUCCUACGGGAGGCAGCAGUGGGGAAUAUUGGACAAUGGGCGCAAGCCUGAUCCAGCCAUGCCGCGUGAGUGAUGAAGGCCCUAGGGUUGUAAAGCUCUUUUACCCGGGGAGAUAAUGACUGUACCGGGAGAAUAAGCCCCGGCUAACUUCGUGCCAGCCGCCGCCGUAAU